GGCUGGUCCGAAGGUAGUGGGUUAUUUCAAUUUCAAUUGAUUGUUCACAGUCAGUUACAGAUUGAUCUCCUUGUUCUCUCUUUCCCCCCUUCCCACUACUGCACUUGACUAGUCUUUU
ensembl:misc_RNA Y_RNA Y RNA